UUCCCCGCCGCAAAUCUCCACCGCAGCGGGGCUUAAUCUAUUGCCCCACUCCGUUGCAGCUUAGUCGUACGAGCUGACAGCCUCUCGUACCCUGUUGCAUCAGGGCAAGGAGAAGGGAUCAGGGGCGCCACCGUCGGCAAUGUUGUACAUGCGUGGGGUUCAGUAAUUUCAGCAACGUCGCCGGUAGCUUCUCGUCUAACACAUAGCCGAUUAAGUGGUGGCUAGCUGAACUGGAGCGUCCAAACGCCGCACUCUCCAGUAUGAGGAGGGCGAUGGAUCGAGGUUGGAUGAGUCAACCAAGAACUAGUGUUGCUUACAAAGAUGGUGUCGGGCAAUUUCUGUCUUUUGCAUUCCAUGAUGUUCCAGCUGGUGAUAGAAUUAUCUGUCCUUGUGUAAAUUGCUGAAAUAAAGCUAGAGGAUGAGUUUGGGUUCAUUCUUGUGAACAAGUCUCGGGAAAUACACACAGGAGAUCAGUUAGAGGAUGAUCCUUUUGUAUUUUCUUCCCAAGUGCAGCAGGUUUUCUAUGUUCAAGAUCCAAAAGCUGAAUUAUGGAAUGUAGUAGUGGAAGUCAGGCCUCGUGACCUUUUUGACAUGGGUGAUGAAGAAUCAUCAGAUGAAACAGAUUAGAGCAUUGUGCUUUUGGGGUGUGUUUGGUUCGGGAAUGAAGUGUAAUGGAAUGUCAUGGUUCCGUUCUACUAGAAUGGGUCGGUUCCAUCUCUGUGUUUGGUAGAAGCAAUUCAAAGGAAUGGAAUUGUUAUAUUUUCA